GUCUGUACGUUUCCAUUUGAGUAUCCUGAAAACGGGCUUUUCAGCAUGGUACGUACAUAUUAAAUAGUAGGAGUGCAUA
rnacentral:sRNA from 1 species